UCCGGAGUUCGAUCCCCAGUACCCAAAAAAAAAAAUUUCUUUUAAAGGUCCUGCCUGGGAGGUAGUUUCAUUCAAUUCCCAGAGCCACCACCACCACCACCAAAAAAAUAAUAAUAAUAAGUAAACUGCCUUGCCAAUGUCAUGUGGCCUGUCCACACCAGAGCUGGGAUUCGAACCCACAGUCCUCUCUACCCUGAAUUUACUCCAAGUCAAAUACAUCCACCCCCUCUGCUGCCCACUGCCUCUUUCCUUCCCCUCCACCAAGGGUAUGGGAGAAGCAGCAGCCCUGCAGGCUCUGUGGGCUUCUGGGCAGUCCCAGGACCUGACAGAGAGAUCAGAGCGGGCAUCGGGGGCUCCACGCGAACCCUCACCCCCACUCCAAGCGUGGUGCCCACCCGCCUAGCUGGCAUGGCGGGGUGACUCAGCCGCAUCUGGGGGAGAUGCCAGGGCAGUGACUCACCUACCGAGAAGAGCUGAGCCUGGCACUCUGCCAGCCUAGGACAGAAGCGACUUAGUCACCACCCACCGGGACUGCGCUGCCCGCAGGCGUGGCCAGCGAUCGGGACAGGGGCUGUGCCCUCUGCCUACAGGCGCCCCCUGGUGAAGACAGGCGGGCUUUAGCAUCCCCACGGGGCUGGGCCCGCUCCUGCCCCUCUCCACUGCCCACCCCCAUCUCGCCGGACCCUGCUCCCGUGGCAACAAGCUGCCUCUGGCAGGCAGCCCACUACCCUUGGAGCCCGGCCCCCACCCCCAGUCCACCUAGUGUAGGAAGUAAGCGUUGGAGAGUAUUUGUCAUGCGGAGACCAGCCCAGGAGAGGAGAGAAGCAGCAAGGCGGAGACAGACAGACAGACAGACAAACAGACGGGAUUCCUGUGCUCUGUGCUCCAGCUGCAACCAACCACUAGCACCCACCCCUGCCUCCAGGCCUCAGAGAAGGGAUCCCUUUGGACCAGGAAUCAGAAGCCCAGAGCCUGAGCUGGCCGAGGUAAACCACACCUGUGAUCCCAGCACUGAGGAGGCUGAGGCAAGAGGAUCACCACAAGUUUGAGGCCAGUUUACCCUACAUAGUGAGUUGAAGCCCAGCCUGGCCUACAGAGCGAGACCCAAAACAAACUAACAAAUAAACCUGUCCUGUCUCCCUGCCAAUCAGCCCUGCUUGCUUCCUGAGCUGGGGAAUCCUAGUCGUCCUGUCCUUAACUGGUCCUGUCACUGUGGACACAUCCCUGGCCGGGUCCCUGGCCGGGUCCCUGGUCUAAUAGGAGGCAACUGGGCAGGACGCCCCUUCUGGGAGGUGUCUCCGCGCCCCAGUGCUUGUCAGCAUGAGUGUGCUGGGCCCUGUCCAGCAGCUUCAUUCACACCAGCAGCCGCAGGCCACCCAAACAAACCCCAGUGCAGCCUCCCCAGCCAAGCCCGUGCUCCCAAGAGACCUGCACACAGGCAGAGGGGGAAAGGGCUGUGUGUGUGUGUGUGCAUUGUGUGUGCGUGUGUGUGUGUGCUCGCGCACGCGCGCCCACCUGGCCUGUGGACCCCGCGAGGUGAGGCGGCGAGGAA